ACAACAGGUGUUAAGAGGAAGAGAGGAGCAAGCAUAUAUAUAUGGCACUCCAGGAAGAUGAAGGUGGGAUUAUAGAAUUGCUUUGCUGUGACUAAAGAGAACUUGUAAGGAAGCCUGUGUCCAUAGAUUGUCAUGUGUAUGCAGCUGUAGUCUGGGAGGUCUGAUGUUAGGGAAAAAGAAGGAGGAAAGCAAGAUUAAAAAUCAUUCCUGGAAAUGCAAGAGCAAAUGUGCUGGAGUGGUGUGCUGUGAGUACCAGGGACACUGGACAAGAAAGAUAAGCAAGCCACUGCUGUCUGAUUCCUACAUAGCAGGUUGGUUAAAGUGUUGCAUUCAUAAUUCCCACUUCAGGAAGACUGAAAACCAGACUUUAUUCUGUUAGAUCCCAAGAUAUCAAGGAAGAGGAAAAGGGAAGAGCCCCAGGCACUAUUAAACCACAGCUACAAUCACUGCCAUUUGAAACUUCCCACCAAACAACUUUACUAUUCUGAUGUAAUUUCAACUCCCAGGGAGAGUUAGUAUUAGGAGGAAGUACCUAUCAUCCAUGAUAAUCCACUGAAGAGCUAUAAGAAUGGAAUUGAGACUAGGAGAGGAACAUCCAAAGGAGAGAAAAUGACUGCAGUGGGAGAGAACAAGAGCUACGAUCAAAAAGAGGACAGACAAGUAGCACUGAGGAAGACAGAAGGGUAAGAAGAG
rnacentral:lncRNA from 1 species